GCUGGCGGCACGCCUUAUACAUGCAAGUCGAACGAAGUAGCAAUACUUAGUGGCAGACGGGUGAGUAACAUGUGGGUAUCUUCCCUUUGGUGAGGAAUAACACGAGGAAACUUGUGCUAAUACCUCAUAAGUCUUUACGGAGAAAGCUUUAUGCGCCAAUGGAUGAGCCCGCACUUGAUUAGUUUGUUGGUGGGGUAAUGGCCUACCAAGACGGUGAUCAAUAGCUGAUCUGAGAGGAUGAUCAGCCACAUUGGGACUGAGACACGGCCCAAACUCCUACGGGAGGCAGCAGUAGGGAAUAUUGCACAAUGGAGGAAACUCUGAUGCAGCGAUGCCGCGUGAGUGAAGAAGGCCCUUGGGUUGUAAAGCUCUUUCGUCGGGGAAGAAAAUGACUGUACCCGAAUAAGAAGGUCCGGCUAACUUCGUGCCAGCAGCCGCGGUAAUACGAAGGGACCUAGCGUAGUUCGGAAUUACUGGGCUUAAAGAGUUCGUAGGUGGUUAAAAAAGUUGGUGGUGAAAUCCCAGAGCUUAACUCUGGAACUGCCAUCAAAACUUUUUAGCUAGAGUAUGAUAGAGGAAAGCAGAAUUUCUAGUGUAGAGGUGAAAUUCGUAGAUAUUAGAAAGAAUACCGAUUGCGAAGGCAGCUUUCUGGAUCAUUACUGACACUGAGGAACGAAAGCAUGGGUAGCGAAGAGGAUUAGAUACCCUCGUAGUCCAUGCCGUAAACGAUGUGUGUUAGACGUUGGAAAUUUAUUUUCAGUGUCGCAGCAAAAGCAGUAAACACACCGCCUGGGGAGUACGAC
rnacentral:rRNA from 1 species